GAACACUCGUUCUCGUAAGAUCACCGAAUUUAAGCAACGUCGACCUUGAUUAGUAACUAGAUGAGAGACCGCUUGGGAAAGCCAGCUGCUGUAAG